rnacentral:rRNA from 1 species
AAUAUUGACUUAAUUUGUGCCAGCAGUUGCGGUUAUACAAAUAAUGUAAAUAAAUUUUAUUAAUAAAAGUUAAAUGUUUUUAUAAAAAUAAAAAAUAUUUUAUUAAGUGAAAUUUUAUUUUAUUUAUUUAUUUUUUAAAAUAAAAUUAAUUGAAACUAAAAAAUUUUAAUUAAAAACUAGGAUUAGAUACCCUAUUAUU